rnacentral:tRNA from 1 species
GCCUCCUUAGCUCAGUUGGAUAGAGCACCUGACUCUUAAUCAGGGCGUCCUCGGUUCGGGCACGAGAUGGGGCACCA